CUGAAAUGGCCACAGUUUUGCCCUUGGGUCGUCCACCUCAGGAAAAUGGAACAAACCAUAAAUACUGGAGCUCCGCUCACAGCCCAUUUGGUCUGCUUCCAGGGGUCUCAUCACGUGCCGAUUAAGCUGAGAAGCAGCAGACACCAGCUGAGGUCAGGAAGAGGAUUUAUCAGGUCCCACGGCUUCCAGUACUGGAGUCAUUUCUCUCACUUGGUCUCACCAUUGCAGAAUCUGUAUCUUUGUUCUUUUAUGUCUGCUUAGAGAGAAACCAACCCACCCUGUACUCUAUGAGAAACACAAGACAGAUUCCUCCUGAGUCAAGUCAAGAUGAAAUGAAUUCUUUAUUUUGAGAUCUCCCAUGUAAAAUACUGUAGGAUGAUUGGCAGCAGCAAACAAGCAGGAAAACAAAGACUGUUAAAAUUAAGAUUCUAAAAUAAACUGAAGAGAUUUUUUUAAAGUAUAAAAAUAAACUUUAAUAACUUUUCUCUCUUCACACAGCCACAUCCAUGAGGAUGCCAGUUUGGUCUUUCUUAAUAGUUG
ensembl:lncRNA